rnacentral:rRNA from 2 species
AUGCAAGUCGAACGAGCUUCCGUUGAAUGACGUGCUUGCACUGAUUUCAACAAUGAAGCGAGUGGCGAACUGGUGAGUAACACGUGGGAAAUCUGCCCAGAAGCAGGGGAUAACACUUGGAAACAGGUGCUAAUACCGUAUAACAACAAAAUCCGCAUGGAUUUUGUUUGAAAGGUGGCUUCGGCUAUCACUUCUGGAUGAUCCCGCGGCGUAUUAGUUAGUUGGUGAGGUAAAGGCCCACCAAGACGAUGAUACGUAGCCGACCUGAGAGGGUAAUCGGCCACAUUGGGACUGAGACACGGCCCAAACUCCUACGGGAGGCAGCAGUAGGGAAUCUUCCACAAUGGACGAAAGUCUGAUGGAGCAAUGCCGCGUGAGUGAAGAAGGGUUUCGGCUCGUAAAACUCUGUUGUUAAAGAAGAACACCUUUGAGAGUAACUGUUCAAGGGUUGACGGUAUUUAACCAGAAAGCCACGGCUAACUACGUGCCAGCAGCCGCGGUAAUACGUAGGUGGCAAGCGUUGUCCGGAUUUAUUGGGCGUAAAGCGAGCGCAGGCGGUUUUUUAAGUCUGAUGUGAAAGCCUUCGGCUUAACCGGAGAAGUGCAUCGGAAACUGGGAGACUUGAGUGCAGAAGAGGACAGUGGAACUCCAUGUGUAGCGGUGGAAUGCGUAGAUAUAUGGAAGAACACCAGUGGCGAAGGCGGCUGUCUAGUCUGUAACUGACGCUGAGGCUCGAAAGCAUGGGUAGCGAACAGGAUUAGAUACCCUGGUAGUCCAUGCCGUAAACGAUGAGUGCUAAGUGUUGGAGGGUUUCCGCCCUUCAGUGCUGCAGCUAACGCAUUAAGCACUCCGCCUGGGGAGUACGACCGCAAGGUUGAAACUCAAAGGAAUUGACGGGGGCCCGCACAAGCGGUGGAGCAUGUGGUUUAAUUCGAAGCUACGCGAAGAACCUUACCAGGUCUUGACAUCUUCUGCCAAUCUUAAAGAUAAGACGUUCCCUUCGGGGACAGAAUGACAGGUGGUGCAUGGUUGUCGUCAGCUCGUGUCGUGAGAUGUUGGGUUAAGUCCCGCAACGAGCGCAACCCUUAUUAUCAGUUGCCAGCAUUCAGUUGGGCACUCUGGUGAGACUGCCGGUGACAAACCGGAAGAAGGUGGGGAUAACGUCAAAUCAUCAUGCCCCUUAAGACCUGGGGUACCCCCUUGCU